AUUGAACGCUGGCGGCAGGCCUAACACAUGCAAGUCGAGCGGAUGAAGGGAGCUUGCUCCUGGAUUCAGCGGCGGACGGGUGAGUAAUGCCUAGGAAUCUGCCUGGUAGUGGGGGAUAACGUCCGGAAACGGGCGCUAAUACCGCAUACGUCCUGAGGGAGAAAGUGGGGGAUCUUCGGACCUCACGCUAUCAGAUGCGCCUAGGUCGGAUUAGCUAGUUGGUGGGGUAAAGGCCUACCAAGGCGACGAUCCGUAACUGGUCUGAGAGGAUGAUCAGUCACACUGGAACUGAGACACGGUCCAGACUCCUACGGGAGGCAGCAGUGGGGAAUAUUGGACAAUGGGCGAAAGCCUGAUCCAGCCAUGCCGCGUGUGUGAAGAAGGUCUUCGGAUUGUAAAGCACUUUAAGUUGGGAGGAAGGGCAGUAAGUUAAUACCUUGCUGUUUUGACGUUACCAACAGAAUAAGCACCGGCUAACUUCGCG
rnacentral:rRNA from 1 species